rnacentral:misc_RNA from 1 species
UCCGGCUUACCACCGGCGGUCCCACUAGAGUGCCCAACUUAAUGCUGGCAACUAAUGGCGAGGGUUGCGCUCGUUGCGGGACUUAACCCAACAUCUCACGACACGAGCUGACGACAGCCAUGCAGCACCUGUCACCGGUCCAGCCGAACUGAAGACGAUCAUCUCUGAAAGUCGCGACCGGGAUGUCAAGGGCUGGUAAGGUUCUGCGCGUUGCGUCGAAUUAAACCACAUGCUCCACCGCUUGUGCGGGCCCCCGUCAAUUCCUUUGAGU